AAUAUUGUACAAUGGGCGAAAGCCUGACCUAGCCAUGCCGCGUGUGUGAAGAAGUUCUUCGGUUUGUAAAGCACUUUAAGUUGGGUGGAAGGGUUGUAGAUUAAUACUCUGCAAUUUUGACGUUACCGCUAGAAUAAGCACCGGCGAACUUCGUGCCAGCAGCUGCGGUCAUACGAAGGGUGCAAGCGUUAAUCGGAAUUACUGGGCGUAAAGGGGGCGUAGGUAGUUCGUUAGGUUGGAAGUGAGAGGCCCGAGCUCAGGCGGGGAACUGCAUCCAGGACUGGCGAGCUAGAGUACGGUAGAGGGUGGUGGAAUAUCCUGUGUAGCGGUGAAAUGCGUAGAUAUAGAAAGGAACACAAGUGGCGAAGGCGACCACCUGGACUGAUACUGACACUGUGGUGCGAAAGCGUGGGGGGCAAACAGG
rnacentral:rRNA from 1 species